rnacentral:lncRNA from 1 species
CGCACACAUAGGUAGACAAAUCUCAAAUGUAUCAUCGUAGUGUUUAUUACAUAGCGGAACAAUAAUGAAUCACAUAGUCUUAUACAAUAAUGAUAAUAAGAAUAAAUAACGCUCUCGACAGAAGCUUCACACAGGGACAAACAUUGAAUGGUUGACUUCAAACCUAAUACACAUAUUGAUAGUCCUCAUUCCAAUCUUCAUCAUUUGCAUAACCUGGGGUGUUCGGAAAUUGCAAGAGUGAGCACAUAUCGUACUCAACAAGUAUAACCAGGGGUUCAUGAGGCUUAAAUAGCUGACACUGGUUUACUGCAUUUAGCUUUUAAUAGUGGAUAGCAUGUUCAUAAUUAAAUAGCAAAUGUCAAGGUAGCAUAAAUAAUCCAAUAAUCACAUGAUCAAAUGUAAGCAUAAUUAACUCUUACCAUAAAUGAUAAUCAAAUGGACAUAAUAACUUAAUAAGCAUCAUCUUUAGUAUAUGAAACCCCAAGGCCGCUCUUAACCAUGAGCACGCCUAGUAUACCAGUUUUAAACACUCUGCAGAGGUUGUACAUGUUUACCCAUGAGUCAUGAUUUACCCUUUCGCCCGAGGUAGCUAAUCUCUUAACCCCCUUCCUAGAGAGGUCGGUAGGGAUCGCUAUGAAGCCUUUUAAAAGUUCGUCUAACAUGUUAGGGCCGCAAGGUUUCCCGGACGCACAGAUAUAGAGCCCCCCUUCCAAUGGCACAAUGAUUCACAGCCUAUACACAUAAAGACAGAGGCCACACUAUACCAAAAUGGCAAGCCCCUCUAGCGCCCUUUCGGGUAACCGCUAACAAGCUAGAAAAGGUCUUCAUACUAAGCUAAAGCCAGAGCCAUUAUAGCCAUCAUGGUUGCACAAUUAUCCCGGUGAUCACUUACAGACAAGAUCUCAUAUGGAUAUCAGUCAUCUUUUAACGUUCAUUGCAUAGCUAUUAAUCAUCUUUACAAGAUCAUGGAUUACAUCAAGCACUAGCAUAACUACACCAAAUGCAUAUCAAAUAGGUAACAAGGAAUCCAGGUAACAAUCAUCUAUGAUUUUGCUAAGGUCGACAAUGUGAAAACAUGCAUAUGAUAUAUAUCUGUAUUUAUAAGUGUAUAGGUAACAAGGAUAAUCCCAAGUUAUACUUGCCUUGAUCAAAGCUCUCUUGAGCCUGCUGUUGGUCGUUAAAAGCUUGGUCUUGCUCACCAACGUACGGCUCACCGUCUAUUCCCAAACAUCAAUCAACAACACACAAUCCAAUGGAGCAAUCAUACAUAAGGCAAACAAGCUAUAAUUAGAACAUUACACCAACAGUAGUAAAACAAAUAUAAAAGUUUAUAAAAAUAUUCUACGCAGCGCUACGAUCACACAAACGUAAAGUUCAUGAAAAUCAUAACUAAAACGUAGAAGUUAUGAAUUUUCUAAGAUUUCCUAUAGAUAAAUAAAUAAUUAAAUGCUACUGCAAAAUUAAAAGUUUCAAAACACAUAAAUAGUUCCACUAACAUGUAGAGCUCGUAAAUACGAAUCUAACGAAAUUUGAAUGGACAAAAACGGAGUUAAAAUGAGUAUUUUAUGAGCAAAACAAUAUCAAUGGCAAUUCUAUGAUUUCUGGAAAGCGUAUUUUAACGUUUUCAGAAUUUAAAGGCGCAAACCGAAGGAUACGUCUUGGACCUUGGGUUCAAAAAUAAAGAAGCGUAGGGGCUCUUUAGCAAGAACUACCUCGAAGGGGUAUCUUCUAAUGCCCGCCCUUGAUCUCCAAAUGGAUGGCUGGCAGGCUUCCUGGGCGCACAGGAGCCGUCGUCCGGGCGAAGUUGAGCACCGGCGCGGUGGCGCCAUGGCUACCGCCGCGAAGCUUACCGGCGUUCACGGUUUCUGCGUUUUCAAGCACCAAACAGCAAACCGAGUGCAUGGGAGAGUAGAGGAGGGAGAGUAGAGGAGGGAGAGGCGAGCUCACCGAGGGAGUUUUCUUGGGCCAAUGGCAAGCAGGAAGAGCGGUUGGCGGUGGGGAAGAAGACACAUUUCGGCGAGAUCCGAAACCCAGUGUAUGAGACGGCUAGGGUUCCCGGGAUGCGGAAUACGGUAAAAAGGAGGUCGCGGGAAGGUCCUUGGGCCUUUAUAGGAGCUUGGCGCACACGUUUGCAAGGGGAUCCCGGGGUUUUCGAGAUUGGUUCGGCCCGAUGGAAGGAGUUCGUCUCGGUUACGAACCGAGGAAGAAGAGGGCGCUGCUUCGGUGGGUCCCACCCGUCAGCGAGAAGAGGAGGGGACCCGGCUGUCGGCCAAAGAAAGAAGGGGGAGGAGGGGCGCGCCUGCUGGGGCGAGCUAGGCCGCUCGACAGGCCGAGCGCAAGGGGGAGAGGGGUGCUGGGCCGCGGAGGAGGGAAGCAGGCCAGGGGGGCUGGCUGGGCCGACUGCAGCGGCAGCGCUGGCUUUCCCCUUUUUUCUUUUCUUUUCCAAAUCCUUUUUCCAAUUGAGCUUUUGAGCAUAAACAAAUAAAAUAAAAAUCAGAAACAACAGCACAAAAAAUACUAUGCUCCAGCAUGAAUGCAAAACAUGUUUGGAACCUUAUAGUAAAUUUUAAUUUCGAUAAAAAUUAUUUAAGUGCUAAAUUAAAUGUCCACCAAAAAAUGCUUAAAUAAAUCUAAUUAAAUCCUAUUAUUUGAAAAAUCAAUUUUUUGGGUGUUACAACCUAUCUUUGCCGAGGGCCGAGCUCUCGGCAAAGGCCUCUUUGCCAAGGGCCUGUCUUUGCCGAGGGCUCCUAAGGCUGGCCCUCGUCUUUGGCCCUCGGCUAAGCAUGCAUUUCUAGAAGUGUAUUAUAAGUCAUUCCAAGAAUCUUAAAGAGUCAAAGCAUCUCAAGUUUGACCAAAUUUAUAUGAUAAGAUAAUAAUAUUUAUGAUAUCAACUAAGUAUCAUUAGGUUCUUCAUUACUUAUGUUUUCAUAGUAUAUCUAUUUGGUGCCACAAAACUUUGUCAUUUUUCUAUAAUUUUGGUCAAACUUAAGAUGCGUUGAUUCUUCAAAAUUCUUGAAAUGACUUACAAUUUGAAAUGGAAGGAGUACCUUGUGUUUGGUUCCGAGGAUGGCAUGGGACGGGACGGAGCGAUCCCAGAUUCUAUGGUGUUUGGUAGGAAUAAAAAUGGUACGGAUAUUUAUCGAUCGUAUUUGAGACUGAAUUCGUUUAGAGAGAUUUAGGACUUGUUUAGUUCACCUCAAAAUCUAUUUUUUUUAAGAUUCUCCAUCACACUGAAUCUUGCAGCACAUGCAUGGAGCAUUAGUAUAGAUAAAAAAAUAACUAAUUUCAUAUUUUACCUGUAAUUUGCAAGACGAAUCUUUUGAGCCUAGUUAGCCCAUGGUUGGUCGAUAAUUGCCAAAUACAAAUGAAAGUGUUAUAGUGUCAAAAUCCAAAAAAAUUUUGAAUCUAAACAAGGCGUUAUAUCUGUCCAUGUUCAAGCCCAAAUAUUCAACAUCCGACAAAAUAUUUGGUAGGUGUUAUUGCUGUGUGGUUUAUUAAAUGGAUAUUUCCAUGCUUUAUAAGGUAUUAAAAUGAAUAUUUAUUCUAAUCUAUAUAGAUUUACUUGGUAUACAUGGUGAAAUGUAGCAUUAUUGUAGCACCUGGUUAUAAGGAUAAAACCAGAUAUAGACCAUAUGUGAGCUCAGGAAGUUAAAUUUCAGCAAUUUUUAGGAUGUUACAAUUAUGAUUAUUUAAUUUCAUGGUUGUAAAAGUGUUACAUUUAAAUAUAUAUCUACCAUACUUUUCAAAUAUUAAUUUUUUUAAUAAAAUAUAUUAGUAUUUAAAUAUAUAUUUUAGAGAUAUUUUUGUUUUAUUUUUAUAAAUACUGAUGUAGAUACAAAUAUAAAGGUAAUAUUUGAUAUUAUCUUUUAAAAUGACAUAUAUGGCUAGGUAAAAUGCGAACUUAGGAGGUUAUUUUGCAUUAUCUUUUAUAAGAAUAAAGAUAGAUAACUUAUAAAAUCAUUAUGCGGUAUUUUAAAUUAUAUUUCAUAACAAUAGAUGUGGUUAGUUUAAAUAUAAAGUUAGGGUUAUGUUUUAAUUACCAUUAAUAAUGGCUAAGAUGUGUAAUUUAGAUGCAAUGUUAUAGGGUUAUUUUAAAUUAUGUUUCAUAAUGACAAAUAUUUGUAAUUUCAAAUGCAAAUUAAGGAGGUUAUUUUGAAUUAUCUUUCACAAGGACAGAUGUUGGUAAUUUAUAUACAAAUUUAGAUGAUUAUUUUGAAUUAUCUUGCAUAAUGAUAGAGGUGAAUAAUUUAGAUGUAAAAUUAGACGGUUGCUUUAUGGUUUACUGGUGUUGAUGAUUCGAGUCUAUCUUUUAAGAUUUAUCUUUCUUUCCUAGCGUGUCUGUGGGAAUUAACGUGGUGGUACCUUUAUCGGGGCCUCUAAUUAGUAAUAACUAAUUCUAAGGUUAACUUUUUUUCUUAGGCUCUAUUUAGAUUUGAAAUUUUUUGGCCAAAGUGAUAAAAUUUUUUGUGGUCAGAACUCUAGCUCAAAAGUCUGACGCACGCGAAAAAUUUUAGGUGUUUAGUUUGGUAAAUUUUUUUUCUGACACAAAUUGGGCUGCAUACAGUUACAGUUGUCAUUGGUGGGCUUUCAUGUGAGUGCGUGUAUAAUUGCAGCCCAAAAUUUUUGGCCCUAAAAUUUUUUGGCCCUGUUUAGUUUCCAGACCCUAAUUCCACAAUUUUUUCUCUUUGGACCAAAAAAUUUCAAAUGAUCAAAUCUAAACAGGCCCUUAGCUUGUCUGGUAACGUGGUGUCUAUACUAGAAAUAGUAAGAUUUUGCUCCUUGACGGUAGAGUUGACCUGAUCCUAAACGAGGUCUUGCAAAGGACGGAACGAUGGAGUCACGGCCAUGUCGGCUUGAGGUCUCCAUCGUCUCGCGUACUGCAGGCGAGGUUGCCUCCCUCCGGGUGUACUCGAAGCUCACCGACGGCGAUCGAGGCCGGAACAGGUCACAUGCACGAACAUGUCCGCUGGGCACGGUGCCCCCAGCCCAGCCGAAUGUCUAUCGGUUAUCAGCGCAGCGCUGUAGUGUAGUGUGCCUAGCCUGCACAGCACACAGCAGAACAGCUCAGCUCACGGGCCUUGCUAUGUAACCACUCACCACUCAUGGUUGCUAGAUGCACGCGCUCGUUCUUGGUCUGAGCUAGUCCGGGCUGAAUCCGGACAGAUAAUGGUGGCAGGUGACAGGGGCCAUCACCAAUAAAUGGUGGCUCAACAAAAGACAAAUAUAUUAUUAGUUAGUGCGUUCAGUGUCAUGUCAUCGAGAUGCAAAGCUGAAGACCGCGUGGGCUCUGUGUGUGUGUGUGUGUGUGAAAAUAAAAAUAACCAGAGAGAGAGAGAGAGAGCGCCAGUUGACGACAAGAGAAAAGCUGAGCUUUUCAUUUUCCAAUCGCUUUAUUAGCGUGUGUGUGCUUGUCUCACGCAGAGCUAGGAAGUUGCACAAAAGAGAAGUAAGUGCUUCCUCUGUAAUGCGUGUCUCUGUAAGGUUAAUUAGAAUACAUUGUUCACCAUCCAAUUAUGUCUUCUGAACAAAAAUAAGAGAUGAGUAUGGGAAAUGUCUCACCCACUAGCAACCUGGAUAUUACAAAUAAUUAACAAGUCCUCAAUGACUUGAAAACGCUAGUCUUAGAUAUGUAGAUCUCGAGGAGAUGUAGCAACAGAUGCUGUACACGCAUCUGGAUGGUGGGUGCAUAAACAACCAGUCCCCUUUGACUGAAAAUACAUCUAGUAGCGAAGCCGACUAUGUUAACUCAGUCUAUCAUCUUAGGCCAAGCAAGCAUUGCAAUGUAAACUUGUUGGUCGAUCAGACGUCUAGUUGGCUUUCACCAUUGCUGCUGCUGACAUUACUGAGUGGACGUCCUUCUGAGGAGGCAUCGCUCUCCACUUGUCCAUCAUCUGUAUGCAAUGGCUCCAACACAUGAACUGCACCAUCGCUCAUGCCCACUGCGAUCUGGUUAGGUUUCCAGGGAUGCGUAGCGACAACUGUAGGAUAGACAGUUUCACUACCGCUGGGAACAAGAGAGACAGCAAAAAAAACAAGACAUUGGUUACCAGAAUUGAAACUGCCACUCCACGAAAAAAUAGGAACUGCUUGAAACUCUACGGUACCUGGAUAUUGAAGAUGGUAUGUAGGCAGAGGGUGCUAUCCUGCAUUGCAACGUAAGAGAUUCUGCCUCAAAUAUUCCAAUUGCACCAUCACGAAAUCCAGCAUAGACCAACAAACAACCAAGUGAGUAUACCGCACUCGAAAUUGGAGCAGGGAGUGCAUCUCUCGGGAACCACUACAUUAUCAAGUUACGAAAGGUUAAUUAUCUGCGUGUAACAUGUUUAUUACAAUGCAUCACUAUGAUUAGGGGCAAUCUACAGGCAUGAUGUAAAUCAUGUAAUAUGUUAGUCAAGAACACAUAAGUAAGAGAUGGAAAUAUAUGUUGUUACAGAAAUGUCAAUGACUUACCGAGCACAAGCACUCUAGUUGCCAAUCAUAGAUUGACAACUGGCUCUCAUGAACUACUAAAAGAUGUAUUUCAUCAUAGUGAAAUUGUAUCAUUGUAUCACCAACUAAAGCACCAGAAAGAUUAGAUGGAGGUCUGAUGUAUCUCGAUGUCACCAUCUCCCCAUCUUCCAAGCCCCAAACACAUAGCUGCAAUUUAGUUUCAUUUCAUUGCAAACAAGAAAAGACAAUGUUUUAGAAGCAAACAAAUACAAUAUACAUACACUACUACAUAACUUGCAGUCACUGUCAGACUAUCACUGCCGGUUGCUUUAGAACCAAAAAUGAUAAUAUCACCGAUUUGUUGCUACAACAUAGCGAUUCAUACUGACAAUGAUAGGUAGUAAUUUUCCUUUGCUGGUUUGUUGUCACUUUGUAGCUAUGAAUCACUUGUUUUGGACAAAGUAUACAAAGUCAGAUCAAGACAAACUUUACACAAAAAGUUGUUGAGUUCAAGGAGAUCAUAAAUUUCAUAGUUGACAGCUUGUUUGUCCAAUAUUCAAUAUUCAAUAUCGAAUGAAGACAAAAAGUUUACACAAAAAGUUCAAGGAGACAAACUUUACACAAAAAGUUUGUUUGUCCAAUAUUCAAUAUAAGUUCUUGGAUUAGAUUUGAGAUGGUUGACAAUAUCGAAUGAAGACAGGCCGACAUCAAAGCUACAGUACUCGUUGAGAUCUACAACUUUGGGGUUGACAAGCUUUUUAUUUAAGAUUGCUUAUAGUGUCAAAUAUGCAAUAUAAAAUUCAUAAAUGUGUAGUUAAAAGAAUAGCAUCAAUGUAUAUAUACUCAUAAGUGUUGCGUAGCUCAGAUAUUAUAGAUUACCAUUGCCGAUUGAUGGCUAUAUCCAGCAAUGAUAUCAUUCUAUCACUACCAGAUCUAGGACUGGCCUUGAUAGGCAAGCCCCGUUACUCACGAUUACUCUAUGCCGGAUCCAAUUCCGACAGUGAUGCCGGCUUUAGAACCAUAGCGACAAGUGUUCUUGCAAUCAAGACUGUACUAGAUCUAGGACUGGCAUUGACAGGCAAGCCCCGUCACUAUCAAUUACUCUAUGCCGGAUCCGAUGAUGCUGGCUUUAGACCCACAGUGACAAGUUUUCUUGCAAUCAACACUAUAUUUCAAGAUCUUUAUAUCGUUUAGCAAAUGGACUAAACACUGCUGCACAAAGGAUUUUCAGAGGCGACCAAAAUUGAUUUUGAGAGAAGGACAAUGAAUCUUCCUAUGUCAAAUAGUCAGUGCUAAUCGGGCACAACGCUUAUCUACCACUACCCCACAGGAUCAUUUAUGACUAUAUAUGAUGCUAUCUUUUUAUAUCACAUUAUGCAAUCUUCUAUUAAAUAUUUUGGCUACUAAAUGAACUCAAAUGAAAAAGUAUUAACUAUAAAGUUUUAAAUCUUAUCAAGUACUAUAACUUUGGUAUAAGAAGUGUCUCCAUCUAGGAUCGCUUGAGCAAAUUCAAACAAUUGAACAUCGGAAUAUGUGAAUUUUAAAAAAUAUUUUAGACAUUAACAAACAUUAAAUCUAAAACUUAUCAACAAUAGACAUGUAGAUCUGGUUAGCCACUACAAAUUUGUUAUUAACUUUGUGAGCAUUCGAGGUUGUUUACAAAGUCUAAAAUUGGAGUUUCAUAUAUUUAGGACUCUAAAUGACUUAAAUCAAAACCUUUUUGACUACAAAUUUGUUAUGAGAACUACAAUUUUGUUAUGAGAAUGUCAAUAUUCGAGGUGGCUUGAAAGUUGUAAAUUUCAAAUUUAAAUUAUGUUAACUUAAAAAAUAUUUUAGGUCUUUAAACAGUUUCAGAUAAAAAAUUGUCCACAACAAAGUUGUAGAUUCCAUUGAGGGCUAUAACUUUAAUAUAAAAUUUGUCUUCACCUGAGUUCAUAUGAAAAAGUUAUCAAUUAUUUUCGAAUGUAACUACUUAUACGGACUGGCAUCUUAAGAUGUCCAACUCUAGAAAUCAAUUUCUAGAGAUGAACGGGUAGAAGGCCCAACUCUUUUAAUAGAGAUUUUUAGAGACAUGUAUCUUAAGAUGUCCAUCUCUAAAAAUUGAUUUAUAAAGACGGAUGUCCUAAGGCAACCGUAUCCGUUAAUCGCUGAUUUUCAGAGCUGGUCCCUUCUGGGACGCCCGCCUUUAUAAAUGAUUUUUAGAAGCAUAAAUUUUCUUGAGACUAGUGGACCAUUUAUGGAGGCAGUCUCUAGAUGUGCCGCUCUCUAUUAAUCAGAGAGACUGUCUCCCAAAAUUAUUUUUGUGGUAUAAAAAGAACAGUAUGAAAUGCAACGCAUAUAACAUUUUUUUUUUGAUAAAAAUGACCAAAUUGCUAGUCCAUUUUUUUGAUAUAUAUUAAAUUCACACCUGAGCAUCAGCACUAGAACAUACAAGCAACUUCUUGGAACGUGAAAUUGCUAGUCCAGUUAUCUUUAUCCGAUGACCCUUGAGCACAACCUGAACAUACGCAGUUCGGUUAAGAUAAGCCAAUAUUUGCCACAUCGAUGUUAAAUAUUAACUAAAUCGUAAUUAGUACAUUAAGCAUAAUGUUCCACAUAGGGAGAAUCAAUUAUAAUUAAUCAAAUCUCGAGCUAACAAUAUAUUUUUGAUUUGUGAUGUUUUUUUGGGUCAUAACAGUACACAAGGUACUUACUACUCUUCAUAGUGUUGCUGGGAGAUACCACAAACCUGUGAUGGGAUAUGUGUACCUUGUGGUAUCUCCUCAAAGUCCACAAAAAGUACCUAAUUUGUUAUGUCAAAAAGAACAUUUGUAAAACAACAUUUACAAUCUCAUGGUAUCCUGAUGCAUAAGUAAAAGAUUAGGGGAGUAUGUCUGAAAGAGAACCUAUAGACUACUGUAUUUCCAGUGAGAACCAUAUAUGAUGAGUUAUGCCAAUACUCUAAGAUUCACAGAAAUUGGGGAUGACAGAUUCACGUUUAAUACUCACUUUAUCAUCCCCUAAUUCACGAUUAUGGACAUUGUAUAAUUUAAUUGAAGAGUCCUCUGUUCCAAUAAAAAUGAAGAUAAAGCCUCUUUGCUGGUAGAAUGCAAGGAAAGUUGCAGCAGGUGGAGGUGCCAUGAAAGUAGCCAUGACCUACGAGAGAUUCCACGAAAUUAGUGAAGCCAAAGAAAGGCCAUGGUGCAACUAUGAAAUAAAAGUUUUACAGAGGUAGUCAUGGAUGAUUUGUAAGAGAUAAAUUAUGGAAUUAACUAAUUAUUGUUAUAGACAACUGGAAAAGACAUACCUUGAAUGUCUUCAUGUUGAACAACGAGACUCUGCAACCAGAAGCAGAAACUAGAUAGCUGUCAUCUUUGGAUAGUGCAGUGCAGGCUGUUGCUUCUUCAGGGUUGUUGUCAUUAGUAGUGUCGUUUGUCAUUAGAAUGCCAUUUUCCGGUUGCCAUAAUACAGGUGGAACAGAUUUGGACAACUAACCAAAGUAGUGAUGGAUGGUUUUCAGGAAACAACCAAACAGAACUGCAGUGUUGAAAUCAAAAUAAGCUAGUGGUCUUGUCUAACCUCGCCACGUGGAUUCUUGUCACUCUGCUCCCAUUUCCACAGCUUAUGAACAGCAUUGGAGCAGAGAGCCAAAAGUUCCAUCCCAUUAUCUUUGUACAGCAAGCGCAUAACCUAUGAAGAAAACAAAUAAAACACAAUGCUUAUCAGAAUUAUACACUGCUCUGAAUAUGACUACAACAGUUAAAUUCUACCGAACCAAUCGGUGUGUGCUAUGUCAUCAAAAUCAUAAGCACAUCAAUAUAUACUUGCAUCUAAUAGAAGAUGUAUAUGCAAACGUUGUUGAACAUACUUUGUUUGGAGAUGCUUCCGGAUCUGGCAUACGCAGUAUUUGAAUAUUUUCUGAGCCAACGAUGUCUGCCGACUUCCAUGCCUGGGUUACUAACUCAGGGGCUCUGCUCAUUUCCAAACAUGCCUACCAUUUGUUUGAUACUGUUAGAAAAUAAAUAUAUUUUCAUACAGAAGUUGUAAGGAUUGACUUGUCUUUAACUCACAUACAACUAGAAAAUAGUAAUUCCCUUUUUGAGUGGCAGUUUCAAAAAAAAAUUCUCCAAUGUUAAAAAACGUAUUUGUAAAAGUAUUUGAUUAAAAAACACUUAUUUUUUUUCAUAGUUCAGUCUCAUUCUUUAAGAAAAUUAAGAUUACUUUAUAGCGGCAACUAGCAUACAAACAAUCACAAUUUAGGUGAAAUUUCAUCAAAAUUCCUAAACAUCUUCUUUUCUAUUAGGGUCUGAUAAAUUUUUGUAUCGGCUGAAUUUGUUUGGUUGAAUUCACGUUUCUGACCAAAAUUGCACCAAACCAUCCAAAAGUGGCCUCUCUUUCCCAUACCCCUACCAAAAGUUCUAAAUUUCUACCAAUUCAUUAUUCAAUUUUCCCUUUCCCACACUUGACGCCACCAGCAUAGGCCACUCACUCAUCGUUAGUCCAUCUUCCUAACAUUGCUCUAUAUAUAUAUAUAUAUAUAUAUAAAAGUGCUAUUCUACACCUUAACCUUAGGUGUAGAAUACUAUUCUACACCGAACUGUUAUACUGAGGAAAAUUCAGUAUCGUUCAGUAUUUAUUUUUCAGUAUUGUUCAGUAUUUCAUGGUUUAGGGUAUACGCUAUUCUACACCCUAGGUGUAGAAUAUUAUUCUACACCGCAAGUCAAAACUGAGUAGAAAAAAAUACUGAGCAAUACUGGAGAACCUUCAGUAUCAUCCUGUUUAACACCCAGGGCCAUGAAAUACUGAACAAUACUGAAAAAUAAAUACUCUGAAUUUUCCUCAGUAUAACAGUUCGGUGUAGAAUAGUAUUCUACACCCUAGGUGUAGAAUAUUAUUCUACACCGCAAGUCAAAACUGAGUAGAAAAAAUACUGAGCAAUACUGGAGAACCUUCAGUAUCAUCCUGUCCAACACCCGGGACCAUGAAAUACUGAACAAUACUGAAAAAUGAAUACUGAACGAUACUGAAUUUAUUUUCCUCAGUAUAACAGUUCGGUGUAGAAUAGUAUUCUACACCUAGGGUGUAGAAUAGCACUUGUGUAUAUAUACGGCAACGCUAUUCUACACCCUAGGUGUAGAGUAUUAUUCUAUACCUCAAGUCAAAACUGAGUAGAAAAAAUACUGAGCAAUACUGGAGAACCUUCAGUAUCAUCCUGUCCAACACCCAGGACCAUGAAAUACUGAAAAAUAAAUACUGAACGAUACUGAAUUUUCCUCAGUAUAACAGUUCGGUGUAGAAUAGUAUUCUACACCUAGGGUUAUAUAUAUAUAUAUAUAUAUAUAUAUAUAUAUAUAUAUAUAUAUAUAUAUAUAUAUAUAUUAGAAGGAGAGCACUAAAAAUUCCACUGGCCCAGCAGCGGUAGGGAGGGCUGGAGCCCCCCUAGCCCCAAUGCUGGCUUCGUCCCUGGUUUGACAUCUCAGGAAGUAAGAAAGAUAUCUAUUUUGGGAUAUAGGAAGGGAAACUAGCAGCAGCUAGCUAGCUAGAUUCACAGAAAUUGGGGAUGACAGAUUCACGUUUAAUGCUCACUUUAUUAUCCAUAACUACUACCUUCACUACUGCGCCAAUUGACGCGUGGGUGUGGAUUUGAGAUAAAUAAACUUUUUUUUUGUGGCUAUUGCAAAGAAUUAACAGUUAACAGGAAUUUGGAGGCAGUAGCUAGCGUUUGAAAGCACGAUCAGUUCAUACCUCUUGGUAGCGUGACAACAUUUCUCCUUCAUUUAUCCUCCUGCUUAGAAGGGUGGGAUGUUUUGGAUGGACUGUGGCCGCAUGCUUCAAAGCAGCCUCCGCUUCGUCCACCUCACAGAUACGGGCAUCCUCACAAUCCACUUCGGCUGUGACUCUCUGGAGCGAACUUGUUCCAAUGUUCUGGAAGCCAAGCAUCUUGUCAAAACCAAGGUGCAGGUUCUCAUCUUUUAGAGACCGCACACGGACUUGAAACUCAAGGGAUUCAAGACUUGGCAUGAUAGCAUUAUUAGAUGAUGCUAUCCUGCUGUUGUUGCACUCGCUGCCGCGCAGAUCAAACCAGAUAGGUGGACCGAGUAUCUUUAAAAAUCUCAACUUGCGAAAGUAGACAACACCUUCAUCAGUACGAAUCUUUAUGCUAACUACUGACUUGGUGUAACUAAAACGCAGUAUGAGGCAACUGAGCUCUGGCAACUUGGCAAGGGUUUCCAUGUCCUGGUCUUUCACAGCUACCACUUUCACAUCCAGAUAGGAGAGGUUUGGAGAAAGCGACGAGUUAAUCCAUGCCGGCAGUCUAGAGAACACCAAGCAGUUCUCCAAAUUCAGGAGACGGAGCUGCCGACAGGAGACCCAUCCUGCAUCACAGUUCGCCCUAUCAGGAGCCGAAUAGGAGGUACAAUAGAUUUGAAGUUCCUUGAUAUUGUGCAGACGACCCAGGGACUCUAGCAAAGCACUCUCGAUGCUCUGACACAUAACAUCAGUCCGAAUCCGAGCAUCGAGCACCUUCAGUUCCCUCAGCAGAUCCAGCUCCUUCACAAACUGCACUGUAUCACCUUCAUUUUUACACCGUACACACAGCUCUUGCAAUGAUGUCAGCUUACCGAUCACACCAUACACAUAACAUGGUAGUCGUAGGCAAACAAGUUGCGUCAGAAGUCCCACCUCCUCAGGCAGCUCCACUAUACCGCUGUUCCAUAAAUCCAGUGUUUGCAGAAACCUCAGAAAUCUUACCUCCCUAGGCAGCUCAGUGAUUCUUGGAUUCUCUAGUUUGAGGUACCUCAAGUAAACUAAACUCCCAAGAUGAUGCAACACAUCUUUUUCGGGUUCUUGGUAAACAGAACACAAUACAAUUUCUACUAACCGUAGAAAUGGGAGGCGUGGGCAUAAUGAACCAAAACCACAGUCACUAGCAAAGAUGGAUCUCACUUUCUCCACAUCGAUGUUAGCCAGCUGACCAAUUUUGUGCUCUUCAACACACUCUAGGGCCAACCUGCGAGAAAUGCUCCCCUGAAGUUUCUGUCGCUCACCACCAUUCAAUACAGUGACAAAAUUUUCUUCACUCGACAAUUGAUGUAUGAAAUCGAGAACCAUAUCAUGAACAGAGCAUGCAUUUAUGUACCCUGAAUAGUCUCUCUCCUGUGGCUGGAUCAUGUUUCUAUUUAUCAAUUCAUUGAAGUACCUUUCCCCGAGCUCAAAUAGUCCAACCCCUGCUGCUUCUGCUUGUUCCUCAGAGAUGAAACCUUCAGCUAUCCACAUCCAUAUCAAACUAUUUUUCCCUAUCACAUGAUCUUCUGGAAAUAUACUUAGAUACAACAAGCAAGUCUUUAGAUGUGAAGGCAGAUCAUAGUAGCUGAAAGACAAAAUUUUUCUUGUAUUUUCUACAUCAUCAUUAUUGCCUUUACGCCCAAAACCAAUUGAGUUGUAGACCUCAGACCAAUCCUCCCUUGGUUUGUUGGCCAACAAACUGGCUAUUGUAAUGAUAGCUAGUGGCACACCAUCACAUUUCUUCAGAACUUUUUCACAUGCCUCAGCAGAAGGACUAUCAAUAUACUUUCCUUCACCAUCAGCUAUUCUUGCGUACAAUAAAUUUUUAGAGUUAUCAUGAGAAAGUGGCUGUAUUUUGUAAGCUUCGCAGGCAAAUGUGGCAACUUCAGAAAUACGAGUAGUAAUCACAAGUCUACUUUGAUGAUUAGUUUCUUGCAUUGCACAUUUGAUAAAUUUCCAUGAUUCCUUGUCCCAUAUAUCAUCAAUGACAAUGAAACACCUGCAUAUUUACAAGAUAACACCAGAAAUAUAGUAAAUAAAAACAGAAGACGUCAUGUACUGAAGUUUUUAAUUCCUAUAUCAACAUCUCUCGUUAUGUUCUUACUAUAUUUAGAGUUGGAUAUCCUAUUCAGUAUUCAGUAAACAACGAAGAACCCAUGGCCACGUCUCAUGCAUCAACGUCAUGUGGUUUUUCUAGGAUUGUAGCCCGCAACCUUACCCUUCCCGUAAGCCUUACCAUCCUAAUACAUACUCCGUAUCUGUUGAUGAUAGGGACAAGACAACCAUUUAUUUCUAACAUUUGUUGGGGGCGACUACUGAAGGACCGAAAACGGCGACCAGAGGGGGCGUGAAUGGGAGCCUCAAAUUUUUCUCUCAAAAAUAUUUGGCCACUGUCCCAAAAUCAUCGCCAAACCCAAGCAACUUGCCGAGACCAAAAUACUCUAGUCAACUUGUGACAAAAGUACCUAGAAUGAUUCUUUAGAACGGCAGAAAAGCAACGCAACAGACGAAACACGAUUCGAAGCUCAAAUGACAAAAUCAGACGCAAAACACUAAAUCCAGGCCAGAAAAAUUUAGACAGAAAAUCCCCUAAAAAAUUGACAGAGUGCUUCCUGUAGAUAAGAGUGACAGCUCAAAAUACGGUCACCAAAUUCACAAGCUGCGAGAAAGCUGAUAGCAUUUGUUCAGUAAGACAGAAAAGAAAAACCGUUCUUCAGAAAGCUGAGCACACACACGAACUAGCCAUUUGGGCUCCUCGGGCAAGCACCUGCUUUGGUGUGCUACCGUGCUGGGCAAGCAACGCACAGAGAGCAAAUACCUACAUACAUGUCUCCAUCGAUAAACUGCUUAGAGCUAAACAAGAAUGAAUCCAGGAAGCAGAGAAAGAAAUCAAACACGUGAGAUGCUACACCUGAAAUUGAUGUUCUGUGGGCACAAGCUCCUGGAACAAGAACAACCUGAAACAAUUGAUCUGCAAAAAACAACACAAGCACUGCUUUGAUACCUGUUGAAUAGAAACGAACACAAGCUGAAAGACCUGGACGAACUUGACUCAGAGAAUUAACGAUGCAAAAACACUGCUCUGCACUUCACCAAAGGCCAUCGGUCCAAGCGCCGGUAGGAGCCGCUGCAGCACCUUGCCUUCACGCAAGAUCAGCGAGAUACGAAAGACACAACAGCAACAAAUUGAUCUAAGGGCCAGGAACAAUCACCGCUCAAGAGAACAAGCAUAGCACUCAGCACUAGGCGUUUGUAGUACUGCUCCUGUACCCCAUCCUGGAACACGAACCAGCAGAGCUGCUGCUCAGACAAGAACAGACAGAAAAGAGGCUCCAAGAAAAUUCAGCAGAAACUUAUCCAAACUUCAAUAGAAAAAUCCCAAAAAUUGCAAGAGAGAAAUUCGACUUGCUACGAAUCUAUCCCUAAGAAGUCAUCGCCUGGAAUUAAUCUAAAACUCUGGGAAAAAUUCAAACCGUAGACAAGAACGAGUUUUCCUCCCAAAACGCAAAUCUGCUUGUAUCUUGAUGCACAAGUGGAAUUAGCCCAAAUCACUUGGUGAUCUUGUCCAUCACUCGAUAAAGCAUCAAUCUGACCAAACACAACCCAAAAGAAAACUCAAUACUAACAUGAAUCAAGAAAGGGGGAAACGGAUGAACAGUAACUCGGCCAUGAACAAAACUCCAGCACCACAAAUUUAAUCCCAGAGGACACCGAGAGGUUAAGGCCUCUCUUCCAAUAAAAACCACAGGUUCACAACCGGAUUACACAGAUACAAAACAAAAAUUGUUGACCUCACUUACCCAGGAACUCUAAGGAUACCCAGGAACUCUAAAGGAAGGAUACCCUAAAAGAUGACUCAGAAAUGAAGAUAGGAGAGGUGAGGGAGAUGAGGGGCUCCUUCUCCUUAUUUACCAAACAUAUUACAUAGUCCUCAAAGGCCCCUAGAUAUUUUUUGAGCGAACUAGCUAGCCCCAGAGGCAUUCUAGUCCAACUCGACAUGACCUAAAUCUGACGGCCACCGCGCCUCCUCACCGGUAGCCUCGCUCCGAAGCGAUCUCACCGAUGCCGCCACGUGCCAUCCGUCCGCAUCGGGACCUCUGCCCGGGUUUUGAGGCCCAAACCCGUGAAACCCGCCGCGAGUAGCGUACUCCAUACGCUUUCCCGCCACUCGACACGUGUCGUCGUCGUCCUCGACCAGUCGGCCCGCCAAGUCCUCCUGAGCCUCGCUCGACUCGCGUUCGCCGUCUUACUUGGUCAACACAGUCACUCCCAUGUACACUUGCACUUGUCGAUGUUCCAGAUGUCAGCCACUGCGGCUGGUCACCCAGCCUCCUGAUCCGUCAGUCCAAGCCUCACGUCCGUCCUUCACCGCUCCAGGUCCAUCGGCACGGCACGUCUUUACUUGACCUUCACCUCGUCGUCGACCACCGCCUCCGAGCUCCACAGCUGAACACCAAAAGCCAAGAGACAUGUCGCACAUAUAGCUUUCGCCAUGGUAAUGUUAGUCACAAACUCAACCUAUUCGUGAAUCACGUUGACAAUCACUCAUCACAAAACGUACCACAAGGGUACUUCUCAACCUUGUGUUCGCAACUACAAACGCUGGCAUGGACACACACUUCGUCACUUUGACUUCUGAACACAACACACAUGUUUACACUAUGCAUACAGGUUCUACCAUAUAUAAAGAUCCUAACCAACAACUAACCAUACAGGUUUGGCUUGCAUGCAAUUGAGUGGGUAGAUAUUAGCGCACAACCGGUUGUGAA